rnacentral:rRNA from 1 species
CACCUUUGACAUGUACGGAAGUUACCAGAGAUGGUUUCGUGCUCGAAAGAGAACCGUAACACAGGUGCUGCAUGGCUGUCGUCAGCUCGUGUCGUGAGAUGUUGGGUUAAGUCCCGCAACGAGCGCAACCCUUGUCAUUAGUUGCUACAUUUAGUUGGGCACUCUAAUGAGACUGCCGGUGACAAACCGGAGGAAGGUGGGGAUGACGUCAAGUCCUCAUGGCCCUUAUAGGUGGGGCUACA